UGCGUGUCUCCUCUGGAAGGACGUCUUCCCAGGAGUGAGCUCUGCAUCCAAUCUGGCUGCUCUGUCCCUUCUCUGAGAUUCUGCCUUCCUGCCCAUGUACCCAUCUUUCUAAGACCAAGAGGAUGAAGUUGGAUAUAACCCACGCUCUUACAAAGCAAAGUGCCUGCAUAGAGGAAAGUGGAUGCAUUGCACACCCGGUGCUAACCCCUCACUCGUCCUCCUGUGGUGGCUUCUCAGUCGGCAUCCUGGUCCUGAAGUUACUGUCCCCCCCUGUAAAGCCGUUCUGGAAUCUGUGCCCAUCGGUUAUGCAAUAAAUAGUCUCCCUCC
rnacentral:lncRNA from 1 species